rnacentral:lncRNA from 1 species
UUAUAUCUAUCACCUAGAGGGGGGUGAACAGGUGUAACAACCAAAAACCACAAAUCUCGAUGCAAUAAAAAUAAAUGCGGAAAAUAAAAAGCACACCGAGAUUUACGUGGGAAAACUCCAACUUGGAGAAAAACCCAUGGGACCAACACGCGAAAAAACAAUUCACUAAGAGAAAAGAUUACAAGGUGAUUACCGACUCCACGGACUUAACCUCUCUUAACCUCCUAUGAAUCUUCGCGCUACCCUCCGGGUUGUCCACGCCCUCACGUUCGAAUCCACGAACGCCUCCACUUCGAAUCCACGAAGCUUCAAUCACGCCGAAUCCACGACGCCACUCGAAUCCACGAGCCCACGAUCCGAAUCCACGAACCGCCGUCAAAUACGCCGAAUCCACGACGCCGUCAUGAAGAGCAUCAUGAUUAUGGUGAUCCUUCGCUUAGGAGUAUCGUAGAAAACCAGGAAAAGAAACUCCAAGCAAAGCGGAGAUCAAAUCGGCAUAUAGAUAUCAAAUUACAAUAUUCCGAUUUGACCUAAAAGAGGCUAAUAUGUAGAAAAUAGGUUUUAGAUGAAAUCCGAGCCUCUAGGGUUUCUCAAAUAUGUAUUUUCGUGAUGCUUACUUUGUUAGAGAACCCCAAUAGCUUAUUUAUAGACUUUAGAAUCAAUCGGAGUCGAAUUAGAAAGUUUUCACGGUUUUACACUGUGUACGGGUACGCGAAAUGCUGUCACCGGUUACACAAUGACGGAACAAAUUUUCGAAGCCAAAGUUGAUGGCUGUACCGGUACGGGAUAAUGGCUGUACCGGUACACAAUGCAAUUUUUUGGAUUUUGCACCGUUCCGGGUUCCGCAAAGUUCCGAAGCACUUUCUAAUCAACUAAACUUUGAUUAUAUGAUUCUAAUGCCUAUAAUUAAGCAUGAAUCACCAUAACAUGAAUUAAAACUUUACCUUUACGUCGUGAUUUAUAUCGUGAGUUAUUUUCCAACAUCUUCGAAAUCUUGAAUUCUUCAAUCGUCGACGACACGCACCGAUUCUUCAAGACUCCGACUCACUUCACGAAACUUGCCAACACACAAGACCUAACAAAACAGUCGCUGCUUCAAAUACAACCUAUUCGCCAAGGAUUUGGUCAUGUACAGAUCUUCCAAUUUCUUCUAUAAUUUCGUCGGUGUCGUCUCGCUGGCUACGUUGUAAAGAAGCUCAUCUGCUAAUAAUAGAUGAAGCACACUCAACGGCUUCUGCUCCAUCUUCGUCCAUGCCACAUCCGUGACCUCCGCAGACUUCGCCUCUUUCCCGUUCAACGUUUCAUCCAAAUCCUGUUGUACGGGGAUUGCUCUUACUUUAAUCUGCCACAAUCCGAAAUUGUUCUUGUCGCCGAACUUCUCGAUUUUGAAUUUCGUGGCCAUCUCCGUUGAUCUCUCCCGUAGAUCGGUAACCUUAAGCUCCGAUACCAAUUGUUGGAAAUCUGGUAGUCACCCUGGUAUCGAAUUUUAAAAAUCUGCAACCUGCUCUGAUACCGACUAUUAUUAAUUCGGUACUGCUUGUUGGGACUCUACAACGAAAGUGUCAAAUCGAAUUUUUAUCAUAAGCACGUCUUCUCAGCAGGAGCUGAUACAAUCAUAAAAGAAAGAAAAAACAAAAUAGAAAAUAUGCGGGUGAAAUAAGAUUCAUUAGAUAAGAGAAAGAUUACAUCUAACUCCUCUUUUGUGUAGAGUAGCCAUGACCCAAGUUCUCUUUCUGAAUCUCUCCUACUCUUCUCUCGUUUUCUAUAAUCUUAGAAAACAACUCUCCAUAUGCACCCGUGCACUAGAUGCAUUCAACUUAGCCCAAGCUCUCCCUGGUACGGACUCCACCUUUCAGCCGUACUACUCUCAAGAGCUGUUUAAUCUGGCCGUACUUACCUUCUCACAGCCUAGGCUAAUUAGUCCUCAAUGCAUUAUAUAUAAUGCAUUAUAUAUUAAAUCUAUAUUAUACUCUAAUUAAUAUUGUUUGCAAUCCGGUACUCGCACUGGUACCGGAUCUUGGGAAUCCGUAAACCGCUUUGACACCGAUUGAUGUGGAUCUGGUAUCGAUUGUUGGGAUUCUGCAAAUUAAGGAACCGACAAAAAAUUUUUACUAUAAACUCGUCUCCUUAGCAAAAGUUGAUACAAUUAUAAAAGAGAGAAAAAAACAAAAUAGAAAAUAUCCAGCUAAAAUAAGAUUCAUUAAAUAAGAGAAGAUUACAUAUGACUCCUCUUCUGCAUAGAGUAGCUACAACCUGAGCCCUCGUUUUGAACCUCUCCUACCCUUAUAAACCCGCAGAAAAAGACCUCUUUUUUUCUCUCUCACAUGCACCUGUGCACUAGGUGCACACAACAAGGCCUAGGCUUCUCCAUGGUACGGUCACCCCUAUAAAAGGCUGUCACGUCCCGGGGCUGUUUUAGAAAUCAGAGCUUGUGGAAAACGUGCUAUUUUUUAAAAAAAUUAUCUAGCUUACGUGACGUACAGAUACGCCACAAAUACAAAGUUUCUCUAUCCACACGGAUAGUCACCCCUAUAUUUGCACAGCAUACCAUCUUAUACAAUAAAAUACAAGAUCAACAAUUUCAUUCUACAUUCACAACCAAUCACAAACAUUCAUUUACAUCCAUAUAAAUAUAGAGAACGAUUUAGCAAACCUAUUAGUUAAAAGUGCUUCCCACCCGAAAGCUUUGUUUUUAAACUCUAGAUAAACAUCAAUCGAAACCAUUCAAAAUCCUUUUGAAAAUUAUUUCCCACACGGAAACUCAAUCUUUUAAAGUCGAUUGCCACGAGAGUUAGAAAACAAAAUAACUCAAAUCCACAGAACCAAAAUGUCAAAUCCAAGUACAUGCAUAAUCGAGAACCCAAAUUCAUACAAAUCCAAGAUUACUAUUUAUGCAAUAAUAUUCCGAUCGUCUAACUGAACCAUUCAAUUGUUUAGUCUACUAAAAGAAGUAAAAAGAAAAGAACCGGGGAAAGGACAGCUAAUGUGAUCUAGCUAUGUCGUCCUCACGUACUAUCCCGACUCUCACCGCCCGAGCUACCUGAAAAAUGGUGGGAGGUGAGAACAUAUAAACAAGUUUUCCCCUGCCAGUAGGUACCACAAGCCGAUGAAGGCAAGCUGCACUCACCGACAGAUGGAAGAGAUAAACAAUAGUAGUAAACAAAUAAAUUAGCUAUAGUAGCAAUUCAAUAACAUUAAUAAUAAAUGCGAAUGUAACCGCUAUUGCAUGAUCAGGUAGAAAUCGACAACAAGCAUAAUCAACAAAUGUACUGCAACAGUAGCAAUAAUGACUGGAAAAGAGCUACAUCUACCACUUAAUACAUAACUAUCUGCUAUUGUAAAGAACAACAAGAUACACCAAUGUAUCAAAUGGAUGAAUAACACCAACAACCAAAUCAACUAUUAUAUUAGUCUAAAGACCUCAGGCUAAGCUACGUCUUGCUCGCCUCUCCCUCCCAGCAUAUAACCCUAACAGGCACCUUGUAGGGGUCACGAGUCGGAUGUAUGACCACUUUUCCGAAAAAGAACACCUUCUUGUAGUGGAUCAGACCGCUAGUGUACGUGAAGAUGCUCACGAGCUGUGGCAAUCAAUGCAAUAUGCUUAAUGGACCACAACGGCAACUAGCCAAAAGAGAAUCCACAAAUGUCUGACCAAAUCAGGACCACUGUUUCCGAAGGAAAUGUCACCAUGUCAUUGACCUAUAAGGUUUAUAUAAUCAAGUCACCAUGUACGAGAUAUGAAAAUCAUCAUACAAUGGAUAUACAAUAUCACCAUGUAACUAAUACGAAUGUCACCAAGUCACUAACCUAUAAGGUCUAUAUAAUCAAGUCAUCACGUACGAGAAACGAAAAGUGAAAGUUUUGAGGAGCCCAAGGAUCUAUCUAGAUUGUAUCUAUCACCUAGAGGGGGGUGAAUAGGUGAACGGCCAAAAACCACAAAUCUCGAUGCAAUAAAAAUAAAUGCGAAAAAUAAAAAGCACACCGAGAUUUACGUGGAAAAACUCCAACUUGGAGAAAAACCCACGGGACCAACACGCGAAAAAAAUAAUUCACUAAGAAAAAAGAUUACAAGGUGAUUACCGACUCCACGGACUCAACCUCUCUUAACCUCCUAUGAAUCUUCGCGCUACCCUCCGGGUUGUCCACGCCCUCACGUUCGAAUCCACGAACGCCUCCAUUUCGAAUUUACGAAGCUUCAAUCACGCAGAAUCGACGCCACUCGAAUCCACAAGCCAACGAUCCGAAUCCACGAACCGCCUUUGUUCACGCCGAAUCCACGACGCCGUUCAU